rnacentral:rRNA from 1 species
GAUGAACGCUGGCGGCGUGCCUAAUACAUGCAAGUCGAGCGAACGGACGAGAAGCUUGCGUUUCUGAUGUUAGCGGCGGACGGGUGAGUAACACGUGGAUAACCUACCUAUAAGACUGGGAUAACUUCGGGAAACCGGAGCUAAUACCGGAUAAUAUUUUGAACCGCAUGGUUCAAAAGUGAAAGACGGUCUUGCUGUCACUUAUAGAUGGAUCCGCGCUGCAUUAGCUAGUUGGUAAGGUAACGGCUUACCAAGGCAACGAUGCAUAGCCGACCUGAGAGGGUGAUCGGCCACACUGGAACUGAGACACGGUCCAGACUCCUACGGGAGGCAGCAGUAGGGAAUCUUCCGCAAUGGGCGAAAGCCUGACGGAGCAACGCCGCGUGAGUGAUGAAGGUCUUCGGAUCGUAAAACUCUGUUAUUAGGGAAGAACAUAUGUGUAAGUAACUGUGCACAUCUUGACGGUACCUAAUCAGAAAGCCACGGCUAACUACGUG